rnacentral:rRNA from 1 species
AACGAACGCUGGCGGCAGGCUUAACACAUGCAAGUCGAACGCUCCGCAAGGAGAGUGGCAGACGGGUGAGUAACGCGUGGGAAUCUACCUAGUUCUACGGAACAACAGUUGGAAACGACUGCUAAUACCGUAUACGCCUACGGGGAAAGAUUUAUCGGAAUUAGAUGAGCCCGCGUAAGAUUAGCUAGUUGGUGGGUAAU